rnacentral:misc_RNA from 1 species
GCGGAGAGAACGGUGCGCCGUCCUGUUCGCUGGUCAACGAGGGGAGGGUGGUGGUGGUGGUGAUAAGAGCGCUCUCACGGGCGCUUCUUCACACGCCUCCUUUUUAUACCGUCUUCCCUUCGCUUCUUCGUUUAGGUUCUUUUCUCCUUCGCUGUCUCCUGGCGCCGUGCGCGCCGGCUCCGCCCUUCCUCCCCCUCAUCAUUCUUCUCUCUCACGUGCCUCAUGAUUCCGUGAUGCAGCCCAUCCCCACUGCGCACAUCAAGAAGGUACUCCGUAAGGAGCAACUGCUCCGCUUGCGGAGGUGGGCCAAGUCGGAGCCAGCGCAGGUGACUGCUGCGUCGCAACAGAUUUGCGAUCAUGUCUACGAAUACAUUAUCGCGCGCUACCGGCCUGGUGCGACCUCUGCCGCUCGCGGAGCGUCGUCGUCUUCGUUGGGGGCGGCAGAGAGCCGGGGUGCACCUCUGCCCGCUCCACUUUCUCCACCGCCGCUGCUCGUGCUGGCGUAUCUGCCGCUGUACUUCGAAGUGGAUCCUGUGCCGCUCAUGCAGCGUCUAUGGUCAAUCGCGCAUGAACAGAACAUUCACAUCUUGACCCCUGUCGUGCUCCCAGAGACGAUGACGGCCUUGUUGACGGCCAGGGCUGCGGCUGUGCCUGCUGUGGAGCUGACACCACAACCAGCGUCAUCAACAGUUAUGUCGGAUCCCUUGCCGCCACAACAUCCCGCGCCGCACACUCUCAAGAGUGCGAUGGUCUUUGUCGAGGUGCUGAAUGAACGUGAGCUGAACACAGUCUUCGCCCCACAAGGUGCGUACAACAUCCGUGAGUUUAACGCCUCUCUCUUGGAGCCCUGGCUACUCGGGCCUUCACGUACGUCCACUAUCGGCAUGCCAGCCCCCCUGCAUUCGCCGUCCACUUUGGAAGGAGUUAAGGGCGAUGACGAGGACGACCACCCCAUGCUCGCCAGCUGCCAUGGCCGUCAUCGUCACAUGGUUCUCUGCGAUGCAUAUGCACGUUUGUUCCCAGAGCCCCACGCGGCUGGGUAUCGGCCAUCGGGCCUUCUCGAGUACCGCGAUGCCAGUGAGGACCCGAGAACCCGUCUGAGCCCCGCCGUUCACGAGGGAGCCACGCACGCCUUAGGCAGCCUUGACGACGUGUCUAUGCUCGUACUCGCGCCUGGCGUGCUAUUCGACGUGCGGACUGGUUCCCGCCUCGGCAAGGGCGGUGGCUUCUACGACCGCUUUCUCGACUACCACGGCAGUGUGCAUCGCCGUAGGCUCCCCGCUGACUCCGUCCCAUCCCGUGUCGGAGGUCAGGAAGAGGGGAAUACGGCAGAGAGUGUGGAAGCCGCAGUGGGCGCGUCCACUCUCGCCGCCUCCGGCGUGCCUGUUCCGCAGUGGGAUGUCAUGGCCCUUGCCUUCGACGAUCAGGUCCUGCGUUCUUCUACGACGGGUACUUGUGCACCGGCCAUCGGUGUCUCCGAUAGCUCCAUGCCGUCGCGCAUUCCUGCCGACACGCACGAUCGACCCGUGCAUUCUGUCGUCUCUCCAAGCGGCGGCGUAGAGCAGGUGUGUCAAUACCAGUGAGAGGUGGCGCGUCCAACUGUUCCGCCGACACGGGUCGACCUGUUCGAGGGUUUGCGAAGCGGUGCCCAUCACCGCUACCAAAGCAGCAGGAAC